rnacentral:rRNA from 1 species
UACGUAGGGGGCUAGCGUUGUCCGGAUUUAUUGGGCGUAAAGAGCUCGUAGGCGGUUUGUCGCGUCUGCUGUGAAAUCCCGAGGCUCAACCUCGGGUCUGCAGUGGGUACGGGCAGACUGGAGUGCGGUAGGGGAGAAUGGAAUUCCUGGUGUAGCGGUGGAAUGCGCAGAUAUCAGGAGGAACACCGAUGGCGAAGGCAGUUCUCUGGGCCGUAACUGACGCUGAGGUGCGAAAGCGUGGGGAGCAAACAGG